UUCUGAGAUAGCUCAGUUGGUAGAGCUUGAGACUCUGAAUUCCAGGGUUUUGAGUUCAAGCCCAUGUUGGGUAA